rnacentral:lncRNA from 1 species
GGGUGGACAUUGGCCGCGAGGCAAAAAACGCUGGCGCGAGUCCAGGACUCUCGAAGGGUGUUGAGUCUGGGGCCGCUGCUGCCUGCGCGGAGUUGGGGCACCCAGGCAACCAAGUACGAAGAGGAAAUGGAAAUGGGACUUCCAAGGAAGGAGACCCAAGAGGCUGUUCCCCAUAGUGGUUACCGUGGACGAUUUGGGCCUGGGUCCACUCCGGUGCGAUCUGGUCCCUUAGGGCUUCUGACUCUCCAUCGUUAGGUUGAGCAAGAAGUAGCUAGCACCUGAAGUCACCGCCAGCCCUGACCAUCAAGCAGCUGUUCCCAAAAGCCCAUGUCCUCACCAUCCAUGAGGAUGGUGAAUGAAGGGUGACUCUUGGGGAUCAAGGUGCUGGAGUAUGGAAGCAUGGACUACCAGUGCCUCAUUCAGAUCCGUUUCUGGAGCAAGAGCAAGAUGGUGUCAGAGAAUUCAAAGCCUAAAUUAAAACAGAUACAGUUAUUGGAUUGACCAAUGGAUGAACCUUGGCAUUGAGAAAGCUCAGAAAAAGUCCCCUGGACAGGAGGCCUCUGCAUUGUGUAUGUUUGUGACCAUACAGCAAGGGACUGGGGAUCAAAGCUGCCUGGUCCAGGCAUGUAGGUGCCCUGGCAGUGCCCGCUUCCUCACCUGGACACCUUCAGUGCCUGAAGCACCCCAUACUGAAGCCACUGUCAGAGCCUGAGACUCAGAGUAUGGGUCUCAGAGCCCUGGGCCCACCAGGGGGCGCUCUGCUGCUGGCCCUAGUGUGGGCCAGCACCCUUUGAGCUAAUUCUGGCCUGCAACCUCCCAGUAUGAGUAGGAGCACCUCUGGAGGCCUAAGCUCUUCACUCGCUUUCUGUGGCAAGGCAAAAGCAAAGGAGGAGACAGGAGCAGAACCUGCACUCAUCCGAUGGUCCAAGCCCAGCCUUGGCAGGCUGGCCUGCCAUGUGAGCAUGCUGUAUCCUGCCAGAGGAGCUCACGCUGGCUGUGUGGCUGGGUAGGGGUGGGCAGAGAGCAGCCGCCUGGGCAGGUCACUUCCUCUCUGAGCCCCCUUCUCCCAUCUGAGACUCAUCUAACUCCAGUGAAUGGUGGCUCUUUCCAAAUUGUGAUGUCACCUUGUAGCCCAGGGUCUGCCUUUUUGUUAGGUGUGACCAGCUUCACAUCAUUCCCAUUCCCGGGACCCCUCCCCUGCCCUCUUCUGCUCACACUUUGCCAGGCCCCCCAAUAGGGCUCUUGCAGCAAAGAAGCACAGAAAGCAGCCCCGGCUCACCCCAGCUGCAGUGCCCAGUGUGGCUCCCAGGACUUCCUUCCACCUGAAGGCCUGGCUGCAGUCAGGGAAGAGAGGCAGUGGAGGGGCAGCCCUAGGAAGCAGGGGAUGGGAGACCCAGAGCGAUGACAUGUUUAAAGGCAUGAGAUUGCUUCCAAGAAAAAUGACGUGUGAGAUUGUAAAUGUGUGUCACAGGGCACUGCGGGUGUUACAAAGCUCCCUUCCAGCCAGAGUGGAGCUCUGUCACAUUGGCCACCCAGUGAGUCCCUGCUGAAGGAGGCAGCUAGCCAGCCAAGGAGCAGAGAGCUCCCUGGACCCCUGGGCCAUACUGGGUGUGAGGGGUUCUGGCAAGGAUUCAUGCACUCAGGAAGAGCUUUGCUUUCUUUAGUGGUGGUGGGAUAGGGUUAGAGAGCUGAGUGAGGGGAGCUGCCUAACCAAAUUCCCACUUGAAGCCCUGGCCCAGCUCCAAGCAAGAACAUAUCAGACACCCCACGGAACCAGAGCAUGUGGGUGACUGGGCCCAGGGUACGUGGGUGGCAGGGCUUGUGCCCAGUGUAGGGUAAUGCCAGAGCUACCUGAGGGCCUGGGAGACCACCCCAGCUCUCAACUGCCCAUCCCUGGGGAGAUGCCACCACUGCACUCACCCUAAGUGGGCCCCAGUAGACCCUCCUUGCCCUGUGAGCCUCAGGCUUCACACCUCGUCAGGCCACCAUUGCCCAGGAAUUGCCCGCUCCACCCUACCCACAGAAGAGGUGGGCCUUCCUCAGAGCAGGACAAGCUUGAAGCAGUUCCCUCUCCCUCUCAGGCCCUUAAGGUGCUUGUGGAACCCAGACUUCAGAUAGGCCCAGGGUGCUGCAUGCCCCUGCUCACUUCUACCUCACCCAGCCUACCCUGAGCACCCUUGUCCACUGGGAACACUGUGGCUUGUGGGCCCUCGGUAUCUGCCCAGCUGUCGCCAGUGGCCCACACCAGGGUGGAAGGCAGCUGCUCCUUGGAGGUGUAGCCGUACCUGCACAGCCAGUUCCAGUCCCUGAAGGUAGGUGCAGAGAGCAGAAAGCUGAGGGAAGGGGCCGUGGGGCUGCACCAGGGGAGACAACUGUUGCAAUUUUAGGUUUUUCUGAUGCUGGACAGAAUGGGGGACCCAUCGGGGGCCACUGAGAAGGCAGAAGUGAAUUCUCAGGGGAGAGGUAUUGACAGGCACCUGCCAGGCUACCUCCGUGGGAUCUAAACUGAGCCCCAGAGGUUUGGCAGAAUUCACCAAAGGUACUUGGAAAGCUAGGGAGAAAAACAGCCCCUGCUCCGCCACGUGCCGGGGUUUCCCUGGCUCUGGGCAGUGUGUGAAGGGGCUUUUCUCCAGGCAGACAGACUCUCCUCAUCUAGUGUUCUAUGCUCUGGCUGAUGGCUAACUGCCCCCCUUAUUUCUGUUGGAGCCAUGGCCUUCCUUGGAUGGGAGGCCUGCCAUCCCCCACUUCAAUCAUCCAGGCCUCUGAAGUCAUCCAAAUAAGGGGGCAGGGGGCUGGACAAGAUCCACUGGGUCCACGGUCAAGAGCAAAGUUCCAUUCAGAUCCUAGAUAUGCAGCCACAGCUGCUCAGCUAAUCCUGACUCAACCAGCUUGCAGGCCAGAGCCCCUGAGGAGAGGAGAACCCCAUGACCAUUAUUCCUGCUGCGCAGGGCCCCUUACCAAGGGACCACCUGCUGGAAGGCCAUCAGACCUUCAGGGACCAGGGGACACUGGCUCUGGCCUACUUCCAAGGACCCACAACAUCCCCUGGGCCCUCCAGUGAGAACACAGGCUUGUGGGGGCGGCUGAUCUCUGCAGUCGGAGACUCCUCACCGUGGGUCCCCAAGUCCGUCUCGUGGUCAUUGCAGGAAUAGACACUCAGCAGCUGGCAGACUCCCCAGGAUGUGAGGGAGAGUGAGCAUGGGUAAGGCCAGGCUGGUGUGUCCCUGCCCACCAUGCCUGGCAUUGGGAGCAGGGGAGCAAGGCCCCGAGGGCACAGCCCCAGGCUUGCUGAAGGGAGGGAGGAGCCCCCACAGUGAAUCCUGCUCCUGAAAGGAAAACUGGUGGGAGUGGACACCCCCACCUGAGUCCUCCACACUUCCAGCCUUGGAGACCCCUGCCCCUGAGGGUUUGGAUUCAGUAUCUGAGGAUGACAGCCAGGGCAUCUCGGAGAGGCUGUGGGGCCUGGUCAGUUCACACUUUGCAUGAGCCCCGCGGCAUUUGGGCCCACCAGGACCCCAGGCAGGGGAGGGCCGCUGCCUCCCUUGGUCAGGCCCACCACACAUCUCUUCCAAGCCUGUCUGGAUUCUGGACAGCAUAGGGCAACCGUGGAGGCAGCGUGGGCCAGGAGGCUCCUGUGACCCCAGCAAUGGGCCCCUGUCCGAAGCCAGGAUUCCCUGUUGGACAGAAGCUCAGAGAGUGAAGGAAAGAAAAAGAAUGAAAGAGAAUUAUCAUCAUCAUCAUCAUCAUCAUCAUCGGAGAGACCGACAAAAAGGGGCCAAGUGUGGGAGGA